CUACCGAGACAAACGGAAUGGUACUAGG
rnacentral:sRNA from 1 species